AAAAAAAAGAUUCGCUCUCGCUCAACCAUCAUUUUUCCUCGCUGUCAUUCUUCUCAGGGCCUCGCCGGAGUUGUGCUACCACACCCCUACCUCUCCUGACCUCAUCUUUCAUCGAGCCAUCGUUGCCAGCCGAGAUCUCAUCGUGAGAUCAUCGAACUUGGAAAUGGGAGCAAAUCCCCUAUUUUUGUGAUCUACCCCUUCUUACUUUGAUAUUUUUUAUGAUGGCCAGUCGGACCUUCGGCCAAGUCUUCAUGGGACUCUCCUUGACCCGCAUGGUGGAACUUCGACCGCUCAAAAGGAGUAAGGAUCACCGAAGUAAUGUCUAAACCCAAUGAUUUCACAAAGCAAAGAUAAAGGAUUCCGGAACAAGUAAAC
rnacentral:lncRNA from 1 species